CCUACGUGAGGCAGCAGUGGGGAAUAUUGCGCAAUGGGCGAAAGCCUGACGCAGCGACGCCGCGUGAGGGAUGAAGGUCUUCGGAUCGUAAACCUCUGUCAGCAGGGAAGAACGGUCACUGUGCUAAUCAGCAGUGAAUUGACGGUACCUGCAACGGAAGCACCGGCUAACUCCGUGCCAGCAGCCGCGGUAAUACGGAGGGUGCGAGCGUUAAUCGGAAUUACUGGGCGUAAAGCGCUCGUAGGCGGUAUGUCAAGUCAAGGGUGAAAUCCCCGCGCUCAACGUGGGAACUGCCUUUGAAACUGGCAAACUGGAGUGUGUGAGAGGAGAGUGGAAUUCCAGGUGUAGGAGUGAAAUCCGUAGAUAUCUGGAGGAACAUCAGUGGCGAAGGCGACUAUCUGGCACAUAACUGACGCUGAGGAGCGAAAGCGUGGGUAGCAAACAGGAUUAGAUACCCGGGUAGUC
rnacentral:rRNA from 1 species